rnacentral:rRNA from 1 species
CGAACGGGUGAGUAGUACGUGAGUGACCUACCUUUGACUCUGGGAUAAGCCUGGGAAACUGGGUCUAAUACCGGAUACGACCAAUCUCUGCAUGGGGUGUUGGUGGAAAGCGUUAUGGAGUGGUUUUAGAUGGGCUCACGGCCUAUCAGCUUGUUGGUGAGGUAAUGGCUUACCAAGGCGACGACGGGUAGCCGGCCUGAGAGGGUGACCGGCCACACUGGGACUGAGACACGGCCCAG